rnacentral:lncRNA from 1 species
UGGGGUCCAAAAACACAAAGUUCCUUUGAUGCUUCAUGCGUAGUCAACUUGCACAACAGAUGAAAGCUACUGAAAGGGUAUAUUCUGAGUCAAGAACCUUAUGAAUGAUGGAACCAUUUGUGCUGCACAAUGCUUCUCGAACAAAUGAUACUCUCUGGUUCACCUUUCAAAAGGUAUCCUUUAGUAACCCAUGCAAUAAUGAUGCAGUAGAAACUUCGUUUCUUGCCAGGAUUGCUAAGUGUUAUAGUGUUGCUUAAAACAUAUGUUGGCUUUGUGCAUCUUUGCAUCUGAUGACAUAGUUUCAACAUGUUGUAGCUCUGCAUGCAAUUAAAUAUCAGAGGCUCUUAUCUUUGAAACCUUUCACAGGUUUCAUGUUUUCUGUCUAAUCUCAGUUUGGAGUUUGAUGGAGUCAUUCACUCAUUAGAUUAUUUUAGGAACUAGUUGUUUUCAUGGUAACACUCGCUUCAUUAGUGAGAUCACAAGCCAGGCCUCACAAUGCAGAAUUCAUUAGUUAUGAUGACAUGACAACAAGAAUUUCAUGUGAUUCAAUAAACAAAAUAUACAUUCCAUCAUUGCGCCUCAUAAAUGGAUGAAAUUUUCAGCUAUAUAUUCUACAUGCAUUGUUAUUGUAGUAAUAUGUGAAAGAUACAACACCAGGUUAAAGAGUUUUAGGCUGUCAAAGGCACUGUAAGGUCAUCUAUGCAGAACAACCUUCACUCUUUCCCUGUAGAUUAUUCUUCAAAACUCAGAAGGGAAGAAGAAAGGACUAUUCAUUGGACUAAUGCUUAAGGAUUUAUCUCCCCUACUGUCGCAUCACUUUUGAUCCUUUCUGCAAGCUUUACUCUCAUGCUUGAACAGCCGCUCUUGUUUCAAAAGCAAAUGUCCCAUCUCCCCGUCAAAUCUGGUCCCAAAUCUUAUGAGGAGCAGUGCAUGCUUUUCUUUCUUUUAUCUUCUCAAAAAAUGUGGUCCUAUGUAUUGCUGCAUGAUAUAUAAGUGCAUAUAUUUAUGCUAAGCAUGUUAUGGUUUCCAGUGAUCGUUUUCUACCUCUAAACACAUUGUUGUUCAUUAAGUAGGAUCACAGAGAAUUGAUGUGCUAGAGUUACACAUUGCUUCUGGCCAUUUGCCCUGUGUAAAGUAUCAAACAUGUUGCAUGCUAAGCACAACUAUUCAAGGUGAUGCAAGUUGAUGAAUGAUGGUAAUUAUGUUUCACCAGUAUUCAUAUUUUAUAUUGAGUUGCAUGGACGAGGAUUCACGCACCUAAGUACUUAGGUGUUGAAGUUUGAGCCUCUUUUAUGUGCUGUUAUAUCUGUCAUUUCCUGAGCAGUGACAAAAGUACUUCUGGUCCUAACAAAGUUGCUCACAUAAAGAUUUGGGAGUAAAGGGCAUAAGAUGCAUCAAAUCCCAUCAUACCUGUUGGAUGGCCCUGCUCCUGUGGCAACACCUUAGGAUUUAAUAUAAAUAUUGUCAUAGCUCUAAUAUAUUAUGAGAAAGGUAAAUGUAUACCAAGAAAGAUAGUUACAUUGAGAGAGUUUAAGGAAAAAACCAUAGGGUUUUAUUAGAGGGGAUAGGAACUAUUGAUGAUUUGAUGGUCGGUUGAUCUUCCUGGUUUUCUGGUAUAUUACUCUUGAUAUCUGAGAAGUAUCAUUUUAAUGAUGUUUAGUUGAUAUCCUACUUUUCUCCUUGGUUUUCUAUAAAAAAAAUCUGAAUGAUUGUUUUUGAACCAAGAAUUAUUUUUGAUGAUGUCUGAUAUAUUCUGGUUGAUCUUAGAGAGGAGUAUUUAUAGCCUCAUAGUUUCUGAUUAGUAAAACAAUCUAGAGAGGGCAUGCAAUAGUCACUCUCUUUUCCUUGGAAUCACCAGUAGUAUCAAUGUCAUUUGUUAACUGUUUCUUUCACUUCAACUCCAAAUGAAGCCACGAGCAGUAGGGUAUUAUAAGCUCAGUUGUCAUCUGGUGACGUCUGGCUUCCCAAUGUCAAGUUCACAUGAAGGCAUUGUAGAUUGAGCAUGCGUUGUUUUGAUGCAUGGAAAAUACAUACAUAUAUGACUGGUCUCUCUCACAGGAAGACUAUUCACCAUUGCAUUUUCUACAGGCAUGGAGUACGAGCUGUGACUUUUUAGGCUUCAUCAAUUCAAAACGAGAACAACGGAGUCUAAGGAAGAAAUAAACCCCCUUCCAUAGUCACACCCUUCAAAUCGCAAGACUUUUCGACUCCUCCAAACAUUGUUUCAGUGUUGUACAAAGACAUGAAGGUCAGUACCAAUGACCCUCUUGAUCCUCCCAGGUUUCUGAAGUCAAA